rnacentral:rRNA from 1 species
GAUGAACGCUGGCGGCGUGCUUAACACAUGCAAGUCGAGCGAAGCGCUUAAGUUUGAUUCUUCGGAUGAAGACUUUUGUGACUGAGCGGCGACGGGUGAAGUACGCGUGGUAACCUGCCUCAUACAGGGGGAUAACAGUUAGAAAUGACUGCUAAUACCGCAUAAGACCACAGGGUCGCAUGACCCGGUGGUAAAAACUCCGGUGGUAUGAGAUGGAUCCGCGUCUGAUUAGCUAGUUGGUGGGGUAACGGCUCACCAAGGCGACGAUCAGUAGCCGACCUGAGAGGGUGACCGGCCACAUUGGGACUGAGACACGGCCCAA